UACGUAGGGACCAAGCGUUGUCCGGAAUCAUUGGGCGUAAAGAGCGUGUAGGCGGCUUGUUAAGUCUUGCGUGAAAUCUCGGGGCUCAACCCCGAGCGGUCGUGAGAAACUGGCAGGCUAGAGUCCGGAAGAGGAGAGUGGAAUUCCUGGUGUAGCGGUGAAAUGCGCAGAUAUCAGGAAGAACACCCGUGGCUAAGGCGGCUCUCUAGUACGGUACUGACGCUGAGACGCGAAAGCGUGGGGAGCGAACAGG
rnacentral:rRNA from 1 species